UAAGAACUUGCACAGAUGAUCUAAUUCAACCUUCCUUCACCCCGCCUCUGGCACUGGGUUUACUGUACAACAAGGUUUCUUUUUGUCUGGGUCAUGAUCAAGCUCACAUGGUGAGCACCAGAGGUUAGCUGAGAUGAGCCCGGCCCUGCAACAGUGAAAGCAGACCAAGGGGAGUUAGUGCCUUGUACAGAAACAAAGUGCUGGAACUAGGAAUAUCAUGGAGAACCGAAAACCCAAAGGUCAAGAGAAGAACACCGAGGAGAUGAUCGUGCACAUUGCUGAGCUUCAGGCUAAGGCUGUAGAGUUGAAGGAAGGACUUACCGGAGCGAUGGAAGACCUCAGCACCCUCCAGCAGAAAGGAAUCUGCCUUGAGGAGCGGAUUGUCACCUACCAGAACGAAAUGGAUGGGAAAAUACUGGACAUAAGGAACUGUCUGAGCAGCUUUGAGGUAUCCUUUCUACUGUGGGC
rnacentral:lncRNA from 1 species